rnacentral:rRNA from 1 species
AGUCGAACGGUAACAGGAAGCAGCUUGCUGCUUCGCUGACGAGUGGCGGACGGGUGAGUAAUGUCUGGGAAACUGCCUGAUGGAGGGGGAUAACUACUGGAAACGGUAGCUAAUACCGCAUAACGUCGCAAGACCAAAGAGGGGGACCUUCGGGCCUCUUGCCAUCGGAUGUGCCCAGAUGGGAUUAGCUAGUAGGUGGGGUAACGGCUCACCUAGGCGACGAUCCCUAGCUGGUCUGAGAGGAUGACCAGCCACACUGGAACUGAGACACGGUCCAGACUCCUACGGGAGGCAGCAGUGGGGAAUAUUGCACAAUGGGCGCAAGCCUGAUGCAGCCAUGCCGCGUGUAUGAAGAAGGCCUUCGGGUUGUAAAGUACUUUCAGCGGGGAGGAAGGUGUUGAGGUUAAUAACCUCAGCAAUUGACGUUACCCGCAGAAGAAGCACCGGCUAACUCCGUGCCAGCAGCCGCGGUAAUACGGAGGGUGCAAGCGUUAAUCGGAAUUACUGGGCGUAAAGCGCACGCAGGCGGUCUGUCAAGUCGGAUGUGAAAUCCCCGGGCUCAACCUGGGAACUGCAUUCGAAACUGGCAGGCUAGAGUCUUGUAGAGGGGGGUAGAAUUCCAGGUGUAGCGGUGAAAUGCGUAGAGAUCUGGAGGAAUACCGGUGGCGGAGGCGGCCCCCUGGACAAAGACUGACGCUCA